UUAUGUACUUUAAUUAAUUUUAAAGUGC
rnacentral:misc_RNA from 1 species